rfam:Gossypium hirsutum cultivar TM-1 chromosome 9, whole genome shotgun sequence
AACCCAUGGUGAGGGCACCUUCUCCAAAGGUCCUUGUAUCUCUCCCAUACAUCAUAAAAUGUUUCUAAAUCCAUCUACAUAAAAAAGGAGAUAUCAUUACGUAAUUU